AUCCAGCUGACGAGUCCCAAAUAGGACGAAACGCGCGUCAGACUGGAU
rnacentral:hammerhead_ribozyme from 1 species